rnacentral:rRNA from 1 species
AUUGAACGCUGGCGGCAGGCCUAACACAUGCAAGUCGAGCGAGCGGCGGACGGGUGAGUAAUGUCUGGGAAACUGCCUGAUGGAGGGGGAUAACUACUGGAAACGGUAGCUAAUACCGCAUACCAUCAGAUGUGCCCAGAUGGGAUUAGCUAGUAGGUGGGGUAACGGCUCACCUAGGCGACGAUCCCUUGCUGGUCUGAGAGGAUGACCAGCCACACUGGACCUGAGCCACGGUCCGGCCUCCUACGGGAGGCAGCAGUGGGGAAGAUUGCACAAUGGGCGCAAGCCUAAUACAGCCAUGCCGCGUGUGUGAAGAAGGCCUUCGGGUUGUAAAGCUCUUUCAGCGGUGAAGCGUUACCCGCAGAAGAAGCAACGGCUAACUCCGUGCCAGCAGCCGCGGUAAUAC